AUUGCCUGGAAGAACCACAAACAUUCCACCAACAACCCGUAUUCUCAAUUCCAAGAUGAAUACUCUCUGGAACAAAUCAUGAACUCCCCUAAGAUUCAUGAUCCACUUACCAAGUUGCAGUGUUGCCCGACCUCUGAUGGAUCAGCCGCCGCCAUUCUGUGCAGUGAGGAGUUUGUCAAAAAACACAAUCUACAAAACCAGGCAGUGGAAAUUGUCUCCAUGGAAAUGGGCACAGAUUUCCCAAGCACAUUUAAGGAGAACUCUUGCAUGAAAAUGGUUGGUUAUGACAUGGCCAAAGAAGCAGCAAACAGAGCAUUUGCAAAUGCAGGGUUGAGCAGAGAUGCUGUGCAGGUUGUAGAACUACACGAUUGUUUCUCCUGCAAUGAGCUCAUCACUUACGAAGCACUGGGCUUAUGUGAAGAAGGAAAAGCCAAGGAUUUGAUUGACUCUGGAAACAAUACAUAUGGAGGGAAGUACGUCAUUAACCCCAGUGGGGGACUCAUUUCUAAAGGACACCCCCUGGGAGCCACAGGUCUGGCGCAGUGUGCAGAGCUUUGCUGGCAGCUGAGAGGAAUGGCCGGCAAAAGGCAGGUCAAAGGAGCCAAGGUCGGCCUGCAACAUAACCUAGGGCUAGGGGGCGCUGUGGUGAUCAGUAUCUAUAGACUGGGAUUCCCCAAUGCUCGACAACAGAUUCAGGCAGUUCUUGCUAGUAGUUCAGCAGCAAAAGAUUUCAAAUGUAAUGUCAUCUUCGAGGAAAUCAAAGAAAAUCUAGACAAGGAUGGACCAGGAUGGGUUAAAAAGAUGAAAGGAGUUUUCUGCUUCAAAGUGAAGGGAUCAGGUGGGAAGGAAGGUGUAUGGGUGGUGGAUGCUAAGAACGGGAACGGAUCGGUCAAGUUCGGGGUUGAUCCUAAGGGUGACGUGACCAUCAUAAUGUCAGAUGAUGAUAUGGUGAACCUUAUGUUGGGAAAACUAAAUCCACAACAGGCAUUCUUUCAAGGAAAGUUAAAAAUUCAGGGAAACAUGGGACUGGCCAUGAAACUGAGAGAGUUCCAGAACAGGACCAAGUCCAAGUUGUGAGGGGAAAGGAAUGUUAUAAACUGUAGUUCACUCCAGAAAGAUGUGAUAUAUCCAGAGCGAUCAUGUGAUUUAUGCAUUCACCAAUCAUCACUGACAUUUUGAUCAUGUGACUCUUCCACUGUGGAUCAGUUAACUGAUUUAAGAUUUCAUUCUUGAGGCAGUGAAGGUUUAAUUGUGAUUAUUAUUUAUCAUUAAAUUAUUUGUUUUAUUUUUGUGACUUUCAUAAUACACCAUUUCCACCAAACCUACGGUAUUUAUUGAUAUACAUGUACUGAUGUUAUAGAGGGAUUAAUGUACAUUUAUGUUUCAUAUCAGUAUGAAUGUGAUUACUUUUGAUUUAUUUUGGGUUGUUUAAGUGUGUAAAUAAACGAAACACUUCUAUAGGAUCAGCUUCAGCAAUCACCGAUAUAUCUUAUACUGGUAUUUUUUUCUCUUAAAGUGAAAAUUAGGAUUACCACCCAAGAAUAUUAUUUGACCUUAGGCACAAUAUAUAUCCUGUUUUCAUGAUGUACAUGUAAUUCUGUUUUAAUAUCUUGAUAUAUCAUGUUAAUGAACUAAUGAAUGAAAAAUGAAUAAACUUGUAUACAU
rnacentral:misc_RNA from 1 species